rnacentral:rRNA from 1 species
GCAAGUCGAGGGGCAGCACGUCUUCGGAUGGUGGCGACCGGCGCACGGGUGCGUAACGCGUAUACAAUCUACCUUUUACAGGGGCAUAGCCCGGGGAAACCCGGAUUAAUAUCCCAUGGUAUUAUUAAAUGGCAUCGUUUGAUAAUUAAAGCUUCGGCGGUAAAAGAUGAGUAUGCGUCCUAUUAGCUAGAUGGUAAGGUAACGGCUUACCAUGGCUACGAUAGGUAGGGGUCCUGAGAGGGAGAUC